UACGAAGGUGGCAAGCGUUGUUCGGAUUCACUGGGCGUACAGGGUGUGUAGGCGGUUUGGUAAGCCUUCUGUUAAAGCUUCGGGCCCAACCCGGAAAGCGCAGAGGGUACUGCCAGGCUAGAGGGCGGGAGAGGAGCGCGGAAUUCCCGGUGUAGCGGUGAAAUGCGUAGAGAUCGGGAGGAAGGCCGGUGGCGAAGGCAGCCCCCUGGGCUGAGAUUGACGCUCAGGCACGAAAGCGUGGGGAGCAAACAGG
rnacentral:rRNA from 1 species